GCUCCCUUCGGCAGCGCAGGCGCUAAGACUGGAGCAAUGCAGAGAUCAGCGCGGCCCCUGCGCAAGGAUGACACAGAAAUCCAUGAAGAAGUUAAAACUAGA